rnacentral:rRNA from 1 species
GGGCCCGCACAAGCGGUGGAGCAUGUGGUUUAAUUCGAAGCAACGCGAAGAACCUUACCAGGUCUUGACAUCCUCUGCCAACCCUAGAGAUAGGGCGUUCCCCUUCGGGGGACAGAGUGACAGGUGGUGCAUGGUUGUCGUCAGCUCGUGUCGUGAGAUGUUGGGUUAAGUCCCGCAACGAGCGCAACCCUUGAUCUUAGUUGCCAGCAUUCAGUUGGGCACUCUAAGGUGACUGCCGGUGACAAACCGGAGGAAGGUGGGGAUGACGUCAAAUCAUCAUGCCCCUUAUGACCUGGGCUACACACGUGCUACAAUGGACGGUACAAAGGGCAGCAAGACCGCGAGGUUUAGCCAAUCCCAUAAAACCGUUCUCAGUUCGGAUUGUAGGCUGCAACUCGCCUACAUGAAGCCGGAAUCGCUAGUAA